rnacentral:rRNA from 1 species
GACAGAGGGUGCAAACGUUGCUCGGAAUCACUGGGCGUAAAGGGCGUGUAGGCGGGAAGGAAAGUCGGGCGUGAAAUCCCUGGGCUCAACCCAGGAACUGCACUCGAAACUUCUUUUCUUGAGUGCCGGAGAGGAAAGCGGGAAUUCCUGGUGUAGAGGUGAAAUUCGUAGAUAUCAGGAGGAACACCAGUGGCGAAGGCGGCUUUCUGGACGGUAACUGACGC